rnacentral:rRNA from 1 species
CUGACCUCAAAUCAGGUAGGACUACCCGCUGAACUUAAUCAUAUC